UCUGGGGUGUGAGGGGAGGCAGGGCUGCACACUCUGGUGGAUCAAAGCAGUUCGAUAUAACGUAGUUUCAUCUAUAACGUGGUAAGAUUUUUUUGGCUCCCGGGGACAGCAUUAUAUUGGGGUAGAGGUAUAUA